rnacentral:rRNA from 1 species
UACGUAGGGUGCGAGCGUUGUCCGGAAUUAUUGGGCGUAAAGAGCUCGUAGGCGGUGUGUCGCGUCGGCCGUGAAAACCUGGGGCUUAACUCUGGGCGUGCGGUCGAUACGGGCAUCACUAGAGUUCGGCAGGGGAGACUGGAAUUCCUGGUGUAGCGGUGAAAUGCGCAGAUAUCAGGAAGAACACCCGUGGCGAAGGCGGCUCUCUGGGACGGUACUGACGCUGAGACGCGAAAGCGUGGGGAGCGAACAGG